UGCAAACCACCUGCGGAAUGCCGUGUCUCGCAAAGAUGGAUUUCAUGUGUGUUAUCACACAAGCAGAAGAUGUAUUGGAUAGCAACGCAAUCUCUGGGUAAUUUGACAGAUAGUCUAUCACCAGCAAAUAGUUUCUUCCGUCCAGAAAGAAUAAGUCAGUCCCAACUUUCUGCCAUGGUCCAUCCGGUGGAUCAGUGAUGAUCAUUGGCUCCUUUUGUUGCUUAGCAUGAUGCUUUAAGCACGUAUCACAGGUUGACACCAUCUUGUCGAUGUCUGCGUUUAUUCCGGGCCAGUAGAUUGCAGUUCUAGCCCUUCUUUUACAUUUCUCGGCCCCAAGGUGUCCCUCGUGCAGUUUUUUUAACAUCUCCUGUCGCAGUGACUGAGGGAUAAUGAUCCUGUCUUGUCUCAGCAGAAAUCCCUUAACAACACUCAACUCUGUUCUGAUGUUGUAGUACUGAGCACACUUUCCUCUAGGCCAACCUUCAUUCAGAUGAUUGAUGACCAAUUGCAGACAUUUAUCUUUUCCAGUCUCCACUGCAAUCUGUUUGAGUUUUGUGUCUGUGACUGGAAGAGCUUCAGCUACCAUGUUCACAUGCUGAGUCACAUCAGCCUCUGUGGAACUUUCACAAUUUCCACUCUGUUCCACAGCUCUGGACAGAGCGUCCGCCAGAACUAGAUGCUUCCCUCGAGUGUACAUUAGCUCCAUAUCAUACCUCUGCAGUCGCAUCAUCAGUCGCUGGAUUCUUGGAGACAUUUGGUUCAAGUUCUUUUUAAUGAUGGCAAUUAAUGGUUUGUGAUCUGUCUCUGCCACAAAUGUUGGUAAGCCGUACACAUAGCCGUGAAAUUUCUCCAAUCCAUACACUAAGCCCAGGCACUCUUUUUCAAUCUGUGCAUAGCGACGUUCCGUCGGAGUCAUCGUUCUCGAGGCAUAUGCGACUGGCCUCCAAUUCUCUCCAUCCGCCUGCAGUAGAACUGCACCCAUUCCAUCUUUGGAUGCAUCCGUCGAGAUCUUUGUCUUCUUUGUCGGGUCAAAGAACGUCAGAACAGGCUCUGUGGUGAGGAGAGUCUUCAGUCGUCCCCAUUCUUGUUCAUGAUCAGCUGUCCAUCUGAACUCGCCUUUAUCGCACAACAGUUCUCUCAAAUAAACAGUUUUUGAAGACAGGUUAGGUAUGAACUUCCCAACGAAAUUGAUCAUCCCCAUCACUCUCAAUACAGCUUUUCUGUCUGUGGGUCUGGGCAUUUUGAGUAUUGCCUGUAUCUUACUCUUGUCUGGUUCCACACCCCUUUCUGACAGCGUAUCUCCAAGGAACGUGAUUUCCUUCGCUCCAAACUGACACUUGUUCCUAUUUAACUUGAGCCCAUACUUCCUUACACGAUGUAGGACGUCCAUGAGCCUCUUGUUGUGCUGUUCUAUUGUGGAUCCCCACAAUACAAUGUCGUCCACAUAAACACGCACACCCUCGAUGCCUUCGAUUACGUGUUCCAUAGCCCUGUGGAAUACUUCAGGAGCUGAGGAAAUUCCAAACGGCAUCCUCAAGAAGGAGUAGCGGCCAAAGGGCGUGUUGAAUGUGCAAUACCUUGUGCUGUCCUCAUAUGCAUCCAGCUUCGUAAAAAACUUAGCACCUGCCAUCUCACUUAUAAUUUCCUCCCGUGUUGGAAUCUGAUAAUGUUCUCUCUGUAUGUUUGCAUUUAAGUCCUUUGGAUCCAUACAAAUACGUAGAUCACCAUUGGCUUUCUUCACACACACCAUUGAAUUAACCCACUCCGUAGGCUCUUCCACUUUUUCUAUGACUCCCAUUGUUGUCAUUUUAUCCAGCUCUUGCCUCAGCUUUUCACGAAGUGGUGCUGGAACCCGUCUGGGUGCGUGAACUACUGGCUGGGCAUCUUUUUUCAACUGUAUUUUGUAGGUGAAUGGUAAUACUCCAAACCCUUCAAAGAUGUCUGGAAACUGUUUCACGAUUUGUUCCACACUGUUCUGUGUUUCUCCAUUAUUUAUGGUGUAUACUCUUCUUACCAGACCCAGAUCUUCACAUGCCUUAUCUCCCAACACAGAAUCAUGGCCAUCUGGAACAACCACAAACAUGAGGUAAUGUUCUCUGUUUUUAACUUUUACUCUGAGAGUACAUGUUCCUUUUGUUGGAAUGUUCUGGCCAUUAUAGGCUUUGAGUUGCACAGUUUUCUGACUUAUGCGCGGCUUGAUUUUCAUUGCUCUGACAUCAUACUCUGAAAUCAGAUUGACUUUUGCUCCUGUGUCUAGCUUGAGUGAUACUGUUACUCCAUUUAUUUCCAGAGCAGUCAUCCACUUGUCCCGUGCAACACUAUUCACAUCAGCCGGUUCUGUUCUUUCUUGACUGAUAUCGGCCUUCUGCACCAUUCCAACGAAGAAUGUGUCACUGAGGGAUGUUUCUUCCACUGCAUGCACACGCUCUCUUUGACUUUGUCCACCUUUUGAAAAGCAUUGUUUGGCAAAAUGAUUCUGCCCUUUACAUUUAGCACAGACUUUGCCAUAAGCUGGGCACUGUUUUGGCAGGUGUCUUUUGCCACAUCUCUUACAGUUAAACAGUUCUUUCUGCUGUUUCAGUUUACUCAUUCCGCUUUUCUGCUUCUCUGUUACUGCAGCUACGGCUGAAUUGUCACUCCCGCUCAUCUUUGUGUGU
ensembl:lncRNA